UGUGCUCAUUGGACCCAGUUGCCUGCUCCUGGGGGCACCUGGCCGAGGGUGGCAGGAAUGCUGGCUAACCCAAAGUGACAUGUGCCUAGUGGGAAGCUCAGGCUUCCCAGC
rfam:Rattus norvegicus strain BN; Sprague-Dawley chromosome 12 CRA_213000034368184, whole genome shotgun sequence.